ensembl:misc_RNA Y_RNA Y RNA
AGCUGGUUGAAGUGCAAGGGUGUUUACAACUAAUUUACCACAACCAGUUACAGAUUCUUUGUUCCUUCCCCACUCCCAAUGCUCCACUUGACUAGCAAAAA